AAGUUGUGUUGGAUAGUUGCCACGUGAGAUGCUUCGCAAGAACUAUCUCACGUGGAGGAAAGUCCGAACAUUGCACUUUGAAACAGAAGUAGUGGUAGCGGGUAACGCCCGUCGGGAGUAAUCCCAGAGGUGCGAGCAGUGACGCCAAAGACGAAAGUCCGAGGACUCCGCAAGGAGUAAUCUUGCAGAAAUGCAAGAGUGAAACGGCAAAAUCCUUACUUCAAUGCAAGGCCGUGUCCCUCCCCAGUUUAAUUAAACUGGGGAGGGGAGUGCCGCUCGAGCCAAGUGGUAACAUUUGGCCCAGAUAAAUAACUAUCCAUCCGAGGUAACUCGGUGGACAGAAUUCGGCUUAUAGACACAACAAAAAA
rnacentral:RNase_P_RNA from 4 species